AACGCACAUUGCGCCCUUUGGUAUUCCAAAGGGCAUGCCUGUUUGAGCGUCAUUUCUCUCUCAAAUCUUCGGAUUUGGUUUUGAGUGAUACUCUUAGUCAGACUAAGCGUUUGCUUGAAAUGUAUUGGCAUGAGUGGUACUAGAUAGUGCUGAACUGUUUUCAAUGUAUUAGGUUUAUCCAACUCAUUGACCAGUAAAGUAUUUGUUUAUUACACAGGCUCGGCCUUACAACAACAAACAAAGUUUGACCUCAAAUCAGGUAGGACUACCCGCUGAACUUAA
rnacentral:misc_RNA from 2 species